rnacentral:lncRNA from 1 species
CUCGGCAACCACCACGUCUCCAUCGAUGAGAAGAUGAUGAUUCGCCUCCCAGCCCACGCCGGCGCCGACGCCUUCACCUAACAUCAAUCAAACCCCUAUCGUUCCUCCUCCGAUUCUUCCUCGAGAAGGCCGCUGCCGCUCCUUCUCCGAUCUCAUCACCCCUGAUCAAUCACCGCCGAGGAGGGUAAAGAAGAAAGGAAAGAAAGACUAGAGAGGCUCCACCUUCAAAACCACCGAUCGAUCCGUGGCCUCCUCCCUUCUCUCGGACUCAUAACGAAAGAAAGAAGAAUGACAUCAAAUGACAUAAAGAUUUGGGGGAAUGGUGGACAAGCGUACGUUGAAUUGGUUGGAUCAACAAGACAGAUGGGAGAGAGAGAGAGAGCGAGAGAGAGAGAGAGAGAGGAAGAGGGGGGCAAAAGACUCUCUUUUUGUGUUUUUGGCUUCCUUCUUUGUUCGUCCGCUCAUUGUGGGAAAAUUUUAAGGUGGAGACCCGAGUCCCGAGUUUGGCGAGCACGAGUCAGAAUGGAUGGUCAAUCCCAUCUCGCAUCGCAAAGUCUCUACGGAUGGC